UACGUAGGGGGCUAGCGUUGUCCGGAAUCAUUGGGCGUAAAGAGCGUGUAGGCGGCCCGGUAAGCUCGCUGUAAAAAGUCAAAGGCUCAACCUUUGAAUGUCAGUGGAUACUGCCGGGCUAGAGUCCGGAAGAGGCGAGUGGAACUCCUGGUGUAGCGGUGGAAUGCGCAGAUAUCAGGAAGAACACCCAUGGCGAAAGCAGCUCUCUGGGACGGUACUGACGCUGAGACGCGAAAGCGUGGGGGAGCGAACAGG
rnacentral:rRNA from 1 species